rnacentral:rRNA from 1 species
AACGAACGCUGGCGGCAUGCCUAACACAUGCAAGUCGAACGAGACCUCCGGGUUUUUGGGCGCACGUCUGCGUACCGCGUGGGAACCUGCCCUUAGGUUCGGAAUAACUGACUGAAAGAGAACCUAAUACCGCAUAAGGUCAUAGGACCAAAGAUUUAUCGCGGUGGGGUGGGGCCGGGUUGGUUUCGCUGGUUGGUAGGGUACAAGCCUACCAAGGCGUGGUUGCUUAGCUGGUCGGUGAGGAUGCUCUGCCACGAUGGGACUGAGACACGGCCCAGACUCCUACGGGAGGGAGCAGUAGAGAAUAUUGGACACGGGAGGAAAGCGUAAUCCAGCAACGCCGCGUGAGUGAUGAAGGCCGUAGGGUUGUAAAGCUCUUUUUCCCGGGAUGAUAAUGACAGUACCGGGAGAAUAAGCUCCGGCUAACUCCGUG